GCCUGGGUGGCUCAGUUGGUUAAGCAUCUGACUUUGGCUCAGGUCAUGAUCUCACAGUUCAUGGGUUCAAGCCCCACAUCAGGCU
rnacentral:tRNA from 1 species